rnacentral:rRNA from 1 species
UACGAAGGGGCUAGCGUUGCUCGGAAUUACUGGGCGUAAAGCGCACGUAGGCGGCUUCUUAAGUCGGAGGUGAAAUCCUGGAGCUCAACUCCAGAACUGCCUUCGAUACUGGGAGCUCGAGUCCGGGAGAGGUGAGUGGAACUGCGAGUGUAGAGGUGAAAUUCGUAGAUAUUCGCAAGAACACCAGUGGCGAAGGCGGCUCACUGGCCCGGUACUGACGCUGAGGUGCGAAAGCGUGGGGAGCAAACAGG